CGUUGCAUGGCCUGCCACCCAAUGUAAACAAAAAAAGUUGGCCUUUGGUGGUGGUUUGGGGCCGAUGUUGACACAGGCCACACCGGUGGAAGUAUCAAAAUUGAUAAAAUCAAGUCUGAUUGCCGUGGCAGGAACGUUAAAGGUGACUGCAUUUGUAUAGUCUGAGCAACAUUAGCUUGUGUGGACCCCACGUAAGUUUUUAAAGUUGACAGGGUACAAUUGUACCUAUUUUUCCAUCACUGGGUAUCAGCAGCGGCACACUUUACAACUUUCCUGAAUGGCAUAAAUGUCAUUCUAGAAAACCACGAGGGCGAAAACGGUUUUACCAACUUCCUUUACUGGUGGCCCGUGGCGCAUACCCAUAUUUUGAGCGUGCGUAGCUGCCCAAGUUUGUAGGCCCGAGAUUAUGAGUACUUUAUUAGAGCAAUACAGUGUACCAAAAAAAAAAGGGGAAUCGUUGCAAAUCGCUGUUCGUCUAUCAAUUGCGCGUCAUCAGAAAAGCCUUGGGUGAGGCCGGCAUGUUCUAGCUACGCACAUUUGGCGCAGCCUAUUUGUAUGUCUCGCUGUGGACAUAUGGACAUCAAACUUGCUUCGGACGUAACAAUCGGGUAGAUUAUCGCCUGGCAUGGGUGGUUUUACUCACCUCUACCAGACCCCAAAUCUUGGUGCGUCAGCUAAACGGACUAUAACGUGGUUACCAAUUAAAUGAGAUUUUGACACAUUACCCCGCAGCAUUCUCACCCCUACGCUAGUAAUUGUCGAGAAGCGCUGCUUCCAGACGUCGGCAGGGGAGAUCCGAACUUAUGAUAAUGAUGCUUUUAUGGAGAAAUAUUGUGUACCCCAACGACCAAUCCAAGUCUACAUAUCAACACAGCUCAAUAACUGACUUGAAGGGAAAUCUACGCAGAAGCAUGACAUACGAGAUUAUUGCUGGGUGUGUGAAAAAAUAUGCAGGUAUGUGGCACAUUACCAAAAUUAACCUGAAUGCAUUUAACCGGUUUGAUUAAGUUUUUAAGUCAAAUGUCAGAGUUUGUAUGAUCAUUAAAAAUCUAAUUGGUAGCGACAAUAUGUACCUAGCAUAG